rnacentral:rRNA from 1 species
UACGGAGGGUGCGAGCGUUGUCCGGAAUCACUGGGCGUAAAGGGCGCGUAGGCGGCCUGGUAAGUAGGGGGUGAAAUCCUGCGGCUUAACCGCAGGGCUGCCUUCUAAACUGUCAGGCUCGAGCACGGUAGAGGCAGAUGGAAUUCCCGGUGUAGCGGUGGAAUGCGUAGAGAUCGGGAAGAACAUCAGUGGCGAAAGCGGUCUGCUGGGCCGUUGCUGACGCUGAGGCGCGACAGCGUGGGGAGCAAACAGG